CAGCCGCCGCGGUAAUACGUAGGUGGCAAGCGUUGUCCGGAAUUAUUGGGCGUAAAGGGCUCGCAGGCGGUUUCUUAAGUCUGAUGUGAAAGCCCCCGGCUCAACCGGGGAGGGUCAUUGGAAACUGGGAAACUUGAGUGCAGGAGAGGAGAGUGGAAUUCCACGUGUAGCGGUGAAAUGCGUAGAGAUGUGGAGGAACACCAGUGGCGAAGGCGACUCUCUGGUCUGUAACUGACGCUGAGGAGCGAAAGCGUGGGGAGCGAACAGGAUUAGAUACCCCAGUAGUCCCUGUCUCUUAUAC
rnacentral:rRNA from 1 species